rnacentral:rRNA from 1 species
AGCGAACGCUGGCGGCAGGCCUAACACAUGCAAGUCGAACGAACUCUUCGGAGUUAGUGGCGGACGGGUGAGUAACACGUGGGAACGUGCCUUUAGGUUCGGAAUAACUCAGGGAAACUUGUGCUAAUACCGAAUGUGCCCUUCGGGGGAAAGAUUUAUCGCCUUUAGAGCGGCCCGCGUCUGAUUAGCUAGUUGGUGAGGUAAAGGCUCACCAAGGCGAUGAUCAGUAGCUGGUCUGAGAGGAUGAUCAGCCACAUUGGUACUGAGACACGGCCCAAACACCUACGGGGGGCAGAAGUGGGAAAUCUGGCGAAAUGGGGAAAAGCCUGACGAAGCCUGUCGGCGUGAUUGAUAAGGGUCUUAGGAUUGUAAAAUUCUUCCACCGGGGACGAUAAUGCCGGUACCCGGAUAAGAGGCCCCGGCUAACUUCGUGCCAGCCGCCGCGGUAA